rnacentral:rRNA from 1 species
GAUGAACGCUGGCGGCGUGCCUAAUACAUGCAAGUCGAGCGAACAGACGAGGAGCUUGCUCCUAUGACGUUAGCGGCGGACGGGUGAGUAACACGUGGAUAACCUACCUAUAAGACUGGGAUAACUUCGGGAAACCGGAGCUAAUACCGGAUAAUAUAUUGAACCGCAUGGUUCAAUAGUUAAAGACGGUUUUGCGGUCACUUAUAGAUGACUCCGCGCCGCAUUAGCUAGUUGGUAAGGUAACGGCUUACCAAGGCAACGAUGCGUAGCCGACCCGAGAGGGUGAUCGGCCACACUGGAAAUGGGACACGGACCAGACUCCGACGGGAGGCAGCAGUAGGAAAUCUUCCGCAAUGGGCGAAAGCCUGACGGAGCAACGCCGCGAGAGUGAGGAAGGUCAUCGGAUCGUAAAACUCGGUUAUUAGAGAAGAAUAAAGGUGUAAGUAACGAUGCGCGUAUGGAAGGUACCUAAGCAGAAAGCCACGCUUAACCCCGU